CAGCACUUUAUUUUUCUUUACCUCCUAGACUAAGACUUGGGUCGGGCAGUUGCAACAGACCUCGCCAGCGUGGCUUAAGCAACACAACAAUGUUCUCACAGCUCAGGAGGCUGAGAAGUUCGUUCAGGGUGCUCAGCUGGUUCCUGGAGAGGUCUUCCCUUUCUUGCUUGCUUGUCGACGGCGCUGUCUCCAAAUGCAGCUACACCAGGUGGCUACAGCUUUUCACUUCCGAGUUUGGAGAGACCGUGAUUCAGCCCACAGCACUCAAGUGUGAUUGGAGUAUUCGAAGGACAGUGAGGGAAACAGGACCACACAUGAUGGCUCUUCAAGUCCCACUCAGAGAAUGCGUGAUGCUAUAGAGACCCAGCAAAGGGAGGCUAGAGAGACGGCUCCGUGUUAAGAUCACUUAAUGCUCUCCCAGAGGACCUGAGUUCGGUUCCCAGAGCUUACUCCAGGGUUCACAACUGCCUGGACCUUCAACUCCAGGGCAUCUAAACCCACUGCCCUCUUCUGGCCCUCACAGCUAGACUGACAGCUUACGAGUCACAGCAGUCCUCCUGUUCCCGCUCCCCACAGACCUGCAGCUACAGGCCCACUGGAGACCAUGUCCAGCUUGCUACCUGGGUGCUGAGAUUUGAACCCAGGUCCUCAUGGUUGUGCUGCAAGGGCUCUCAGCCAUCUCUCAGUCCUCCAAGAGAAAAAUUUAAAAGCCUGUUUCCCUUUAUCUCUUUUAAUUAGUGUAUUAAAUAGUGUGUGUGUGUGUGUGUGUGUGUGUAUGUGUGUGUGUGUGUGAGCAUGCACACGCAAGUAUGAGUGUGAAAUUCAGAGGCCAGUUUUUGGAAGCCAGCUCUCUUCUACCAGCUUAUGUGGGUUCUGGGGAUCCCCACUCUCCCAUCUCUGCCUGCUGCCAGGACAACUUGACGAGAGGCACCAUGCCCGGCCAUUAAUCUGUUCUCUGUCACUAGUCCUUUGCCUGGGGGUACCCUGGGUGCCACAUUUGCACAUUGUGUACACUCCAUUUGUACACACACCACUGGAACCAGGAACAUUUGCUCAUGCUUGCUGGCCUUUUUUAAAAGGCAAACUCUUAAAGUAUGUUAUAAGCUAUGUGUGAUUUCCCUGAACAUUUCCAUGUGCGUGUGUCAGAUGUUAAGAGUGUGUUCCUUGGUGGCUUCUGUGCUGUAUCAGAGCAUAGAAAUGCCGCAAAUGCCAUGAGAUACCAGAUCCACAUCUGCAUUUCUUCAGUGUCCCCACAAAUAUCUCCUACAGCUGACUUGUCCAAAUCAGGACCAGAUAGAGAGCCUGGUAGUUACGGCUUUUAAGAUACUUUUAUUGACGAACAUGCCUGGCUCCUUUCCCUCCUUCUCCUUCUAUAUGAUAUCAGACACUGCCUUGUUAAGAUACCGGGCAGGUUGCCUGCUCCUGUGGGGUGGGUCUGCCUGUCUCCCGAGAUGUUUGACUCCUCCCAUCCAUCGCCCCCCUUCAGAG
rnacentral:lncRNA from 1 species